CCUACGGGAGGCAGCAGUGAGGAAUAUUGGUCAAUGGGCGGGAGCCUGAACCAGCCAAGUCGCGUGAGGGAAGAAGGUACUGAGUAUUGUAAACCUCUUUUGCCAGGGGACAAAGGCGGCCACGGGUGGCCGUAAGAGGGUAACUGGAGAAAAAGCAUAGGCUAACUCCGUGGCAGCAGCCGCGGUAAUACGGAGGAUGCGAGCGUUAUCCGGAUUUAUGGGGUUUAAAGGGUGCGCUGGCGGCGUUUCAAGUCAGCGGUAAAAUGUCUGGGCUCAACCCCGGCCGGCCGUUGAAACUGGCGUGCUCUAGUUGGCGAGCAGUAUGCGGACUUCGUGGUGUAGCGGU
rnacentral:rRNA from 1 species